rnacentral:rRNA from 1 species
UACAGAGGGUGCGAGCGUUAAUCGGAAUUACUGGGCGUAAAGGGCGCGUAGGCGGUCUUAUAAGUUGGUUGUGAAAUCCCUGGGCUUAACCUAGGAAUGGCAAUCAAGACUGUGAGACUGGAGUGCUGUAGAGGGUAGUGGAAUUUCCGGUGUAGCGGUGAAAUGCGUAGAUAUCGGAAGGAACACCAGUGGCGAAGGCGGCUACCUGGACAGACACUGACGCUGAGGCGCGAGAGCGUGGGGAGCAAACAGG